UUUUUACCGCUGAUGUGGACUCUCUAUGGAGCCUCAAAAGGUCCCUUUUAUUAGUAUAGAUUAAUAUUGAAAUUGGGUUGAGAAACUUCUAUCAGAGUUACUCUUAUAUACAGGUACUUGCGGUGUUUAAGUUGACUAAGUCAAAUGUCUUUUAUGAGAUUAAAUAGGUUUACGUUGACUACAAGUUAUUUUUUCUAGUAAUAAAAGGAAGCUGAUAUCUGGUCCACUAUGACACAUGUCGUCUACGACAUCUAGGCUCCCAUUGGAAUGUAAUAAAAGGAAGUUCAAGAUGUGAUCAUUCAAGAAAUUAGGGUAAAUAGCCCUUUACC
rnacentral:lncRNA from 1 species